rnacentral:rRNA from 1 species
AGUGAACGCUGGCGGUAGGCCUAACACAUGCAAGUCGAACGGCAGCACAGUAAGAGCUUGCUCUUACGGGUGGCGAGUGGCGGACGGGUGAGGAAUACAUCGGAAUCUACUUUUUCGUGGGGGAUAACGUAGGGAAACUUACGCUAAUACCGCAUACGACCUACGGGUGAAAGCAGUGGUUCUUCGGACCUUUCGCGACACAUUUAGCCGAUGCCGGAUUAGCUAGUUGGCGGGGUAAAGGCCCACCAAGGCGACGAUCCGUAGCUGGUCUGAGAGGAUGAUCAGCCACACUGGAACUGAGACACGGUCCAGACUCCUACGGGAGGCAGCAGUAGGGAAUAUUGGACAAUGGGCGCAAGCCUGAUCCAGCCAUACCGCGUGAGUGAAGAAGGCCUUCGGGUUGUAAAGCCCUUUUGUUAGGAAAGAAAAGCAGCAGGUUAAUACCCCGCUGUUCUGACGGUACCCAAAGAGUAAGCACCGGCUAACUUCGUG